AGAGUUUGAUCAUGGCUCAGAUUGAACGCUGGCGGCAGGCCUAACACAUGCAAGUCGAGCGGUAGCACAGAGAGCUUGCUCUCGGGUGACGAGCGGCGGACGGGUGAGUAAUGUCUGGGAAACUGCCUGAUGGAGGGGGAUAACUACUGGAAACGGUAGCUAAUACCGCAUAAUGUCGCAAGACCAAAGUGGGGGACCUUCGGGCCUCAUGCCAUCAGAUGUGCCCAGAUGGGAUUAGCUAGUAGGUGGGGUAACGGCUCACCUAGGCGACGAUCCCUAGCUGGUCUGAGAGGAUGACCAGCCACACUGGAACUGAGACACGGUCCAGACUCCUACGGGAGGCAGCAGUGGGGAAUAUUGCACAAUGGGCGCAAGCCUGAUGCAGCCAUGCCGCGUGUGUGAAGAAGGCCUUCGGGUUGUAAAGCACUUUCAGCGGGGAGGAAGGCGUUAAGGUUAAUAACCUUGGCGAUUGACGUUACCCGCAGAAGAAGCACCGGCUAACUCCGUGCCAGCAGCCGCGGUAAUACGGAGGGUGCAAGCGUUAAUCGGAAUUACUGGGCGUAAAGCGCACGCAGGCGGUCUGUCAAGUCGGAUGUGAAAUCCCCGGGCUCAACCUGGGAACUGCAUUCGAAACUGGCAGGCUAGAGUCUUGUAGAGGGGGGUAGAAUUCCAGGUGUAGCGGUGAAAUGCGUAGAGAUCUGGAGGAAUACCGGUGGCGAAGGCGGCCCCCUGGACAAAGACUGACGCUCAGGUGCGAAAGCGUGGGGAGCAAACAGGAUUAGAUACCCUGGUAGUCCACGCCGUAAACGAUGUCGAUUUGGAGGUUGUGCCCUUGAGGCGUGGCUUCCGGAGCUAACGCGUUAAAUCGACCGCCUGGGGAGUACGGCCGCAAGGUUAAAACUCAAAUGAAUUGACGGGGGCCCGCACAAGCGGUGGAGCAUGUGGUUUAAUUCGAUGCAACGCGAAGAACCUUACCUGGUCUUGACAUCCACAGAACUUNUUGGUGCCUUCGGGAACUGUGAGACAGGUGCUGCAUGGCUGUCGUCAGCUCGUGUUGUGAAAUGUUGGGUUAAGUCCCGCAACGAGCGCAACCCUUAUCCUUUGUUGCCAGCGGUUCGGCCGGGAACUCAAAGGAGACUGCCAGUGAUAAACUGGAGGAAGGUGGGGAUGACGUCAAGUCAUCAUGGCCCUUACGACCAGGGCUACACACGUGCUACAAUGGCAUAUACAAAGAGAAGCGACCUCGCGAGAGCAAGCGGACCUCAUAAAGUAUGUCGUAGUCCGGAUUGGAGUCUGCAACUCGACUCCAUGAAGUCGGAAUCGCUAGUAAUCGUAGAUCAGAAUGCUACGGUGAAUACGUUCCCGGGCCUUGUACACACCGCCCGUCACACCAUGGGAGUGGGUUGCAAAAGAAGUAGGUAGCUUAACCUUCGGGAGGGCGCUUACCACUUUGUGAUUCAUGACUGGGGUGAAGUCGUAACAAGGUAACCGUAGGGGAACCUGCGGUUG
rnacentral:rRNA from 2 species